AGCGGCGAGCGAACGGGGAGGAGCCCAGAGCCUGAAUCAGCAUGUGUGUUAGUGGAAGCGUCUGGAAAGGCGCGCGAUACAGGGUGACAGCCCCGUACACAAAAGCGCAUGUGCUGUGAGCUCGAUGAGUAGGGCGGGACACGUGGUAUCCUGUCUGAAUAUGGGGGGACCAUCCUCCAAGGCUAAAUACUCCUGACUGACCGAUAGUGAACCAGUACCGUGAGGGAAAGGCGAAAAGAACCCCGGCGAGGGGAGUGAAAAAGAACCUGAAACCGUGUACGUACAAGCAGUGGGAGCACCCUUUGGGUGUGACUGCGUACCUUUUGUAUAAUGGGUCAGCGACUUAUAUUCUGUAGCAAGGUUAACCGAAUAGGGGAGCCGGAGGGAAACCGAGUCUUAAYYGGGCGUUAAGUUGCAGGGUAUAGACCCGAAACCCGGUGAUCUAGCCAUGGGCAGGUUGAAGGUUGGGUAACACUAACUGGAGGACCGAACCGACUAAUGUUGAAAAAUUAGCGGAUGACCUGUGGCUGGGGGUGAAAGGCCAAUCAAACCGGGAGAUAGCUGGUUCUCCCCGAAAGCUAUUUAGGUAGCGCCUCGUGAAUUCAUCUCCGGGGGUAGAGCACUGUUUCGGCUAGGGGGCCAUCCCGGCUUACCAACCCGAUGCAAACUGCGAAUACCGGAGAAUGUUAUCACGGGAGACA
rnacentral:rRNA from 1 species